AACGAACGCUGGCGGCAUGCCUAACACAUGCAAGUCGAACGAGACCUUCGGGUCUAGUGGCGAAAGGGUGCGUAACGCGUGGGAACCUGCCAUUAGGUUCGGAAUAACUCCCCGAAAGGGGUGCUAAUACCGGAUAAUGUCUUCGGACCAAAGAUUUAUCGCCUUUGGAUGGGCCAGCGUUGGAUUAGGUAGUUGGUAGGGUAAAAGCCUACCAAGGCGACGUUCCAUAGCUGGUCUGAGAGGAUGAUCAGACACACUGGGACUGAGACACGGCCCAGACUCCAACGGGAGGAAGCAGUGGGGAAGAUUGGACGAUGGGCGAAAGCCGGAGCCAGCAAUGCCGGGUAAGUGAUGAAGGCCGUAGGGUUAUAAAGCUCUUUUACCCGGGAUGAUAAUGACAGUACCGGGAGAAUAAGCUCCGGCUAACUCCGUG
rnacentral:rRNA from 1 species